AUGGUGUAAGGGGAAGCAAACAUGUCCUUCUUCACACAGUGGCAGCAAAGAGAAGUGCAGAGUGAAGCAGGGGAUGGGGGAGAGGGGAAAAGCCCCUUAUAAAACCAUCAUAUCUCGUGAGAACUCGCUGACGAUCACGAGAACAGCAUGAGGGUAACGGCCCUCAUGAUUCAAUUACCUCCCGCUGGGGCCCUCCCACGGCACAUGGACAUUACGGGAACUACAGUUCAAGAUGAGAUUUAGCCUCCUGGACAGUGGCAAUCAUCAGCCCCCCAAGUGUGAGUGCCGGUGCCUUUCUUGGAGCUGAAAGCCUUCCAUGGCGGGCGUUUCAUGAAGACCACCCCACAGGUCCCCAGACACAGUUUGCGGGCCUCAUUUCGUCCUUCCCAAGGUUCCAGGAUUUUCCAAUGCCUAUUAAAUCUUCUGUAACAAUCCAUUCAAAUACACAAGUUUGGCUAUUCAAAUUACUUUUUCCAAAAGUACUUUAAA
rnacentral:lncRNA from 10 species